GAUUAACUAUUUCCUUUCCCAUAUUAGGGAAGUCUUCAACUAUAAUCUCUUCAAGUAUCUUCCCAGUCCCUUUCUUUUUCUCUUCUUCUUCUGGAACCCCUAUGAUUUGAAUGUUGGUGCGUUUAAUGUUGUCCCAGAGGUCUCUGAGACUGUCCUCAGUUCUUUUCAUUCUUUUUUCUUUAUUCUGCUCUGCAGUAGUUAUUUCCACUAUUUUAUCUUCCAGGUCACUUAUCCGUUCUUCUGCUCAGUUAUUCUGCUAUUGAUCCCAUCUAGAGUAUUUUUAAUUUCAUAUAUUGUGUUGUUCAUCAUUGUUUGUUUCCUCUUUAGUUCUUCUAGGUCCUUGUUAAACGUUUCUUGUAUUUUCUCCAUUCUAUUUCCAAGAUUUUGGAUCAUCUUUACUAUCAUUAUUCUGAAUUCUUUUUCAGGUAGACUGGCUAUUUCCUCUUCAUUUGUUAGGUCUGGUGGGUUUUUGCCUUGCUCCUUCAUGUGCUGUGUGUUUCUCUGUCUUCUUAUUUUGCUUAUCUUACUGUGUUUGGGGUCUCCAUUUUGCAGGCUGCAGGUUCGUAGUUCCCGUUGUUUUUCGUGUCUGCCCCCAGUGGCUAAGGUUGGUUCAGUGGGUUGUGUAGGCUUCCUGGUGGAGGGGACUAGUGCCUGUGUUCUGGUGGAUGAGGCUGGAUCUUGUCUUUCUGGUGGGCAGGUCCACGUCUGGUGGUGUGUUUUGGGGUGUCUGUGGCCUUAUUAUCAUUUUAGGCAGCCUCUCUGCUAAUGGGUGGGGUUGUAUUCCUGUCUUGCUAGUUGUUUGGCAUAGGGUGUCCAGCACUGUAGCUUGCUGGUCGUUGAGUGAAGCUGGGUCUUGGCGUUGAGAUGGACAUCUCUGGGAGAUUUUCGCCGUUUGAUAUUACAUGGAGCUGGGAGGUCUCUUGUGGACCAUUGUCCUGAACUUGGCUCUCCCACUUCAGAGGCACAGCCCUGACACCUGGCUGGUGCACCAAGAGCCUUUCGUCCACAUGGCUCAGAAUAAAAGGGAGAAAAGAAAGAAAGAAAGAAAGAAGAUAAAAUAAAAUAAAGUAAAAUAAA